GUUCUUUUCUGAUCAAACCUUGACUGAAUCCCCACCCUAAUUGUUUUCACUUUAUAGUGCUUACUGCUUUAUCAUCUGUAUCAGCUUCUUUAUUGUUUCCCCAAUUACAAUGACAUUCUGAGAGGUUAAGGUCCGUGUCUGUUUAAGCCUACCAUCUGGAGUAUGUCUGGGUACAUAUGCUCAGAAAUAGUUUGGAAUGAAUGAAGGAGAGGAAUACUGAACAGGAGUUUUGAACACGUACCUCCUGUGUGGUGGUGAGGUGCUGUCAAUAGAUUUGACGUAGAGCACCCCAGGUGACAGUAGAACCGGAGUCGUUCCGCAGUUCUUUGUCCCAGGGAGCCACGGAGUAGAUCAUUGCGGAGCACUGGACUGUCCUAGUAACGUAGCAUUCCCGAGAGAACCUCCUGUAGAAGUGCCAGUCAUCUUUAGCCUGUCCUUUAUUCAAUAAUACGGCACUGGGAAUGUGUGAAAGCUUGUAGAAGUAGUCAAAUAGUUGUGAAGUGUAAUCCCUUAAAACAUUAUAAAGUGAUUCUUCGAGUUAACAGAGCCUAUCCCCCCGCUUUUUUAAAAAAAAUAUCCUUACAGCUAAUGCCCCCAAACCAAACUGAUUGCCACCAAGUAGAUUCUGACUCAUAGCGACCCUCUGUAGGGUUUCUGAGGUUGUAAGUCUACCGGAGUGCAUAGACUCAACUUCCUCCCGAGAGUUUUAGCCCAACAGCAAACCCAGACCUCCUUACCGCAAUGAAAAGCACUAAUUUGAUAGCUCAGUCUGAGUUAGCUAGAAGUCAAAAAGGUUAGUGAUCAGGAGCAUCUGGAAGAAAAUAGGAAAACUGAAAAUGACACGCCUAAAAAGAAUCCGUUGCAGUCAAAUUGACGCCAAGUCACGGUAACCUGUGCAUAGAUGGUAUCGUGCAUACAUGUGAACAAAUACACACAAGUAUAUGCAUACACAGUCAUUCUAUUACACAGAUUUUACUAGACGGAUUCUGGUUACCAUUCGGUUCUGUAUUCCUGUCUCUCUCCAUUCUUUUGUUGCCACCGUGACACCUCUGGCUUAUGCGGUCCGUUUAUAACAGAAUGAAGCAUUGCCAAGCCCCGCACCACCUUCACCAUCCUCAUCAUCACGGUCUGCUGUUGCAGCUACUUUGUAAGUUGAAUACCUCCCAGCCCAGGGGUUCAUCUUCCACGGCACAUCAUGGGACAGCGCUCUCAUACUGUUUGCACUGGCCGGUGUUUAAAACGAUACCCCCGUCUUCCUAGUGUGGCUUAGCUUUGAUACUGUGAAACCUGCUCCUAUGGAUGACCUGACUGGUGUUUGAAAUGCAAGUAGCGUAAACUCCAAGCCACACUCCUUGCCACCGCGUCAAGUCUGACUCAGUGACCCUAGUGACUCUAUGGCAAUAGAAAGCAUCAUCUUUCUCCCAUGGAGCGGCUGGUGAGUUCAAACUAUUGCCCUUGUGAUGAGCAGCCCAAAAUGUAACCACUGUGUCACCAUAACUACUAAAAAAUACCAUCGAGUUAAUUUUGACUCACGGUGACCUCAUGCACAGAGUAGAACUGGGGUAAGUGCCCCUGGUGAACUUGAACCUCUAACCUUUUCAUUAGCAUGUUAUGUGCUCCACCUAAAGAGUUCAUCCACUGCAAAAAACUGUUACACCAUUGUACUUUCCCCCCCAGUCUGCUGUAUCUGAACGUUGUUGGCUUCUGGGAUUUUCUUAUUUGAUUCAAAACUGAAUUUAAUAUUUUAUGUAAUAUUAGAUGUCAAUCUGAUUAGGGAAAAUUGUUUUUAUUUGCAUUUCUUUUUAGAGUUAUGUUUAUAAAAACUAGCUUUCCUGUUCUGUAAUCUGCCCAUAUCUUUUUCUACCUACUUUUAUUUUGGAUCAAUUGUCUUUACUUACCGAUUUGUUGGAGCUCUUUAUUUAAAAAAAAAAGAUAGUUUAUGAGUUUAAAA